ensembl:snRNA U1 U1 spliceosomal RNA
AUACUUACCUGGCAGGGGAGAUACCAUGAUCACGAAGGUGGUUUUCCCAGGGUUAUCCAUUGCACUCUGGAUGUGCUGACCCCUGCAAUUUCCCCAAAUGUGGGAAAGUCGACUGCAUAAUUUAUGAUAGUGGGGUACUGCAUUUGUGCUUUUCCCUG